rnacentral:rRNA from 1 species
GUAGAGUUUCGUAGUCCUCGGCGCAGACGACGCUGCGGCGUGCUUAACACAUGCAAGUCGAACGCUGAAGCCUAGCUUUUGUUGGGUGGAUGAGUGGGCGAACGGGUGAGUAACACGUGAGUAACCUGCCCCUUCUUUGGGAUAACGCCGAAACGGGUGCUAUACUGGAUAUUCACUGAUCUUCGCAUGGGGGUUGGUGGAAAGGUUUUUUCUGGUGGGGGAUGGGCUCGCGGCCUAUCAGCUUGUUGGUGGGGUGAUGGCCUACCAAGGCUUUGACGGGUAGCCGGCCUGAGAGGGUGACCGGUCACAUUGGGACUGAGAUACGGCCCAGACUCCUACGGGAGGCAGCAGUGGGGAAUACUGCACAAUGGGCGAAAGCCUGAUGCAGCGACGCCGCGUGAGGGAUGGAGGCCUUCGGGUUGUAAACCUCUUUCGCUCAUGGUCAAGCCGCAACAUUGGUUGUGGUGAGGGUAGUGGGUAAAGAAGCGCCGGCUAACUACGUG